CUUUCUCUUUUUGCUCAGUCACCAAAUCUGCUCCGCCAGCUUGGGCCCUGGGGUGCAGAAGAUAGAGCACCAGUCUUGAGAGAACUGCAGACUUUUCUGUAAGUAAAGGAAGAACCCACAGGCACCACAGCCACCACAGUGGAACCAUUUGACUGAUUGAUGACUGAAGGUUGAUGGUUGUUUCCCAAACUGCUCAGUGCUUUCCUACACCUGUACCUGAUAUUGUACUGCUUCUAAUCCCAAACCCUGACUCUGGAUGUAAAACAAUACAGCACACAUCUCUAAGCCUUGGACUUUGAUCACACAGGCAUCCACAAGUAACUGCUUGACAGCUGAAGAGGCCCAGUCACUCCUGCACAGAAACAAAAGGUAUGUGGAAUGUAAACGACUGGAGGUUCUCACACCUGCUUUUGGUAUCAUCAGCCUUGUUCUUUAGUCACUGUCAGACUUACCA